AGGAAGCACCGGCUAACUCCGUGCCAGCAGCCGCGGUAAUACGGGGGGUGCAAGCGUUGUUCGGAAUUAUUGGGCGUAAAGAGCGUGUAGGCGGCCUGAUGUGUCAGAUGUGAAAGCCCUGGGCUUAACCCAGGAAGUGCAUUUGAAACUGUCAGGCUUGAGUAGGGGAGAGGGAAGUGGAAUUCCUGGUGUAGAGGUGAAAUUCGUAGAUAUCAGGAGGAACACCGGUGGCGAAGGCGACUUCCUGGCCCUAUACUGACGCUGAGACGCGAGAGCGUGGGUAGCAAACAGGAUUAGAUACCCUGGUAGUCCACGCCGUAAACGAUGUUCACUAGGUGUUGGGGGUAUUGACCCCCUCAGUGCCGGAGCUAACGCG
rnacentral:rRNA from 1 species